GGAGAAACGAACCUCAGUGAACUUGUCUGGACCCUAUGCCUGAGACUACGGAUCAGAAGGUUAGGGGUUCGAGUCCUCUCGGCCGCGCCA
rnacentral:tRNA from 1 species